CUACGGGUGGCAGCAGUGGGGAAUUUUGCACAAUGGGCGAAAGCCUGAUGCAGCGACGCCGCGUGGAGGAUGAAGGUCUUCGGAUUGUAAACUCCUGUUAAGUGGGAAGAAAGUUUCAUGAUUAAUACUCAUGAAAGAUGACGGUACCACUGGAGAAAGCUCCGGCUAACUUCGUGCCAGCAGCCGCGGUAAUACGAAGGGAGCAAGCGUUAUUCGGAAUUACUGGGCGUAAAGGGCGCGUAGGCGGCCUGUUAAGUCAGUUGUUAAAUACCACGGCUUACCUGUGGACCAGCGAUUGAUACUGGCGGGCUAAGAGGACAAGAGAGAGAAGUGGAAUUCUCGGAGUAGCGGUAAAAUGCGUAGAUCUCGAGAGGAACACCAAUGGCGAAGGCAGCUUCUUGGCUUGUACCUGACGCUGAGGCGCGAAAGCGUGGGGAGCAAACAGGAUUAGAUACCCGGGUAGUC
rnacentral:rRNA from 1 species